UAUCUUUUCACAAAAUAAUAAGAUAAUAAUAAUAAUAAUAAUAAUAAUUACAAUUUAAGAUUGAUGUCAAAUUACAUGACAGAAAGCUAAUAGCAUCACUGCAAAACAUUAGAACAAUAUUUGCGAACACAAAGAACUGAUACCUUCUUACUGGUAUUAAGCUCUCAGCAAAUUCUGCUCUCUACUCUUCUACACUAUCACCAUCAGCAGCUUCCUCUGCAAAUUCCUCUGCUUCAAGUUUCAAGUCUUAGAACCCCAUAAAUAAGCCUGCAGUUGCUUCUGUUUCCUCUACAAUCACUAGCAAAACCAAGGCAGCAGCUGUUGAAGCAGUGAAGGCAACUAAAGAAGAAAAUUCUUCCGGCACAGUUCUUCUCCCUGACAUGAAAAAAAUAGAAGAAAGGAUAUAACACAAUCUUUUCAUAUUAAUUUUAAUAGACUAGUGAUUAUUAUUGCUAAGCAUUAAAAAUACUGAAUAAAAAGUAAAUACCAUUUUAAAAAGUGGCUACUCCACACAAUUUUUACAUGAUAAAUAGGACGAAGCCCAAAGAGUACAAAAGCCCAUCUAAAAAAUAUAAAGAACAAAACCCAAAUUACAAAACAAAAUAAAUGCUCCUAGUCUAACACACACACACAGAGAAGAUAAUAAAUAAAUAAAUGAAAGAAGAAGAAGAAGAUUGGAAGCUGCAAUAGCCCGGUUUGACUGAGCAAUCAUGCAGUUAGUAGAAAAAAUGGAAACUGAAGUGCAAAUUUUGUUAAAUGGAAUUUACCUAUUUAUGUAUUACUAUUUGAC
rnacentral:lncRNA from 1 species